GUAGAUACAGGAAGCCGCUGCUAAGGUGGCCUCAGAGAGGAACCGGUGUGGUGAACUCCUGGCAUGCGCAGGUGACAAGAGGUUCCGCAGGAAUGAAUGGAGUCUCUACACAUCAAAUCGUGUGUCUUGACUACUCAGGAUGUCAAGGGCAAAGGUUAACUCCUGGGGGUUUUCUUUCUGUAUUAAGAUUCUCAAGAGAACAGAACCAGUGGUGGAUGUGGAAACAAGGCUCCGAAAAUGUUAAAGAAGCCACUCCUGGUCAUUACAUCAGCUAAACGACAGGCUCUGAUUCACCUGGGCUGUGGGAUUUCCAGGAUCAAAGCAAGUGUAAGAGGGCUGAUGGUGGGCCACUGUCACCACACCCUUCAUCUUUCACUGUGUCAUCUGAGGUUGUUCUACAGUGCCUUGCUUCUGAUUGUGCUGUCAACCUUCUCAGUCCCUGGGUUGGACCUAGGACAACAGGCCAGCCUUUGGUUAGCAUCAGCAGCUGAGUGGAGACUCGUCUCCAAGCAUCAAGGAUGUGAAAAUGUGAUCUUGUUGGGGAUAGUGGGAGCUUGGGGGAUGGGUUCCUUUGUACUUCUCUCAAGGUCUCCUGGUCCCUCCCUGUGUGUUUGUGGGCGCCACAGACAGCCUCACAAUCAGGAUGAGUGGUAACGGGACAGUCAAACACAAUGAAGGGAAUCAUUGUCUCACGAGAGUCAGAACAUCUGUUCCUCCCACCGCACCUGGGCGAAGGCCAAAUAAUCAAAAGAAGGAAACAGGAUCUGCCAACAACGCACUUUACCUUGAGUCUUUGUGUAGAGAAUACCUUCUCCAAGUAGGCGCCUUUCAUUGGCUCAGAUUUUCCCAUCUCAGUUGUCAUUAUAACUGAAAGCUAUUGUAGCUCAUAAUUUCACAUUGUCCUUUCAAAUAGAAGCAUCGCCAAGCAGAUGUGAACAAUUAUCUUCAAUUGUGAUUUUUUUUCCAUUAAAUUUCUAAAGGAAUACCUAACCUGGGUGUUCAAACAUUGGUUAAUCCAAA
rnacentral:lncRNA from 1 species